UCCGGCUUAUCACCGGCAGUCCCUCUAGAGUGCCCAACUAAAUGAUGGCAACUAAAGGCGAGGGUUGCGCUCGUUGCGGGACUUAACCCAACAUCUCACGACACGAGCUGACGACAGCCAUGCAGCACCUGUCUCCAGGUUCCCGAAGGCACUCCCGCAUCUCUGCAGGAUUCCUAGGAUGUCAAGACCAGGUAAGGUUCUUCGCGUUGCAUCGAAUUAAACCACAUGCUCCUCCGCUUGUGCGGGCCCCCGUCAAUUCCUUUGAGUUUCAAUCUUGCGACCGUACUUCCCAGGUGGGAUACUUAGUGCGUUAGCUGCGGCACUGGAGGGGUCGAUGCCUCCAACACCUAGUGCUCACCGUUUACGGCUAGGACUAC
rnacentral:misc_RNA from 1 species